rnacentral:rRNA from 1 species
CAGCAGCCGCGGUAAUACGAAGGUCCCAAGCGUUGUUCGGAAUCACUGGGCGUAAAGGGAGCGUAGGCGGCGUGGUAAGUCAGAUGUGAUAUCCCGGGGCUCAACCCCGGAACUGCAUCCGAUACUGCCAUGCUAGAGGAUUGGAGAGGUAGCUGGAAUUCUUGGUGUAGCAGUGAAAUGCGUGGAGAUCAAGAGGAACACUCGUGGCGAAAGCGAGUCACUGGACAACUCCUGACGCUGAGGCUCGAAGGCCAGGGUAGCGAAAGGGAUUAGAUACCCCUGUAGUCCUGGCAGUAAACGGUGCACGCUUGGUGUGAGGGGAAUCGACCCCCCUUGUGCCGGAGCUAACGCGUUAAGCGGCCGCCUGGGAAGUACGGUCGCAAGGCUAAAACUCAAAGGAAUUGACGG